rnacentral:lncRNA from 13 species
GUGUAAUGAGUACGCUGGGAGUCGGGAAGCAAGUUCAGGAAGUGUAUUGAAUAAAUAAAUGAACAUAGAACAAAACAAGAAACACGAGUAGUGUACAGACAUGAAACACUGAAACAGGAAAAAAUAACGUCUAAGGAAAGAACCAAAGGAAGUGACCGAACAUAGGGAAGAUAAUCAGGAAGGUGAUGAAGUCCAGGUGAGUCUGAUGAGUCGCUGGUGCGCGAAACGAUGGUGACAGGUGUGCGUAGUAAUGAGCAGCCUGGUGACCUAGAGCGUUGGAGAGGGAAUUAAUGUGACACCAGGGACUAUUAAAAUGUACAUUGCUGCCUGCUGUAACUUCAGCACUUUAGAUUACUGUAUUGUCAAUGAUGUUGCUGUUAGUUCAAUGUAAUUUCUGUCCAGGUUAGCUCAAGGUCUAGGCCUGUCCUGAGCCAAGCUGAAGAUGUGAAUGGAUAAUCUCUCUGGCACCACUAUGAUGGGUUAGGGCAGAAGAGUCCUACUCGCAUGGAUAAGUCUGAGCCUGUUUGUGAGUUUCCAUACAGUCACAGGGGACAGAGAGCCUCAUCCAGCUUCAUACUAGAUAUGGUCAGCUGGAGGGCAGACUGGUCAGAGUGAGAGAGAGCCAGAGGAAGGUGGCUGCCUACCUGGGGAUCCCCUGAGCCCCCUUGUCGGGCCGCUGAAGUUCCAGGCCCCCCAGUCUCCCCGGGUGUGGCAGGGACUGAGAGACACCAAGGCUCACCCCCCCUCUGUAUGAGCCUAAGCAGUAAUGUCUCAGAGAGACAGGCAGGGAGACAAACAGCCUAUACUGUUUAAUGGGGAACUCUGAAUCAUGCGUAUUUUGAUUAACAUUUUGCCAUUCAUGUUUGUAUUGAUAGUGUAAGAAAAUGUCACCUUUCUUGUCCUCCUAACACAUAGGUGUCUGCAGAACAUGAACCACACUAGACAGAUGGGGGACCUGUACGGAGGUCGGUUCCCUGUCCUAACCACCUCAGAGGACUCCCUUUACCUGAAUAUCUACACACCAGUCAAACCUGGGGACCCAAGGAAACUACCAGACUGUUCCACAAGGCCAUCAGUCAGAGUGGAGAACCCCUUGUCUCUAUGUUCAUCCAGGAUGACCCCAAACCUGCUGCACAGCUGGUGGCACAGAGAGCAGGCUGUCUCAGUGAUGACUCUGCAGAGCUCAUGA